GAUAUUCUAUUGGCUUUCUUCAUUGUUUAUUAUUUUGUAUAUAUUUCAUAUAAACUUAUUUACUAAUGAACAGUUCAAUUACAACAGCCUUCACGAUAAAAAGGAAAAAUAAACAAGCCAUGCACUGCUCUCCAACUAUCAAGGAUGAUAAAUAUGCAAAAAUAAACAGAGUUUCUUAACCUCUCAGGAAUUCAACAAAGUUUCUAAGCAUCUCAUGAAUUUAAACUUGUUACAUAGUUCCACCUCCCCCUAUCAACUCUGCCACAAGACAUGCAGCAUUGAAACCUUCCCGGAAGUGAUGAGAACCUCCCAAGGAUGAUGCACUCUAAGGUGGUGAGGGGAUAAGCUUUGCAUCCCAGAGACUGUGAAAUCUCAAAGAUCAAAGGAUGUGGAUUGAAUGGCACACAAAGGUUGCGGAAAUUCCUUUGGAUCGAUUCUCUAGAUAUUACACACCAAAAAAAUCGACAGCUUGCUAGAUAUGACACACCAACAAGGAAUGGAUUGAGAGAUGGAUUGAGAGACGCCACAAAGAUAUGUGAAAAGAUCUAUGAUAAUUUUAGACCAGCCAUGAACAUAGAUAUGACAUGCCAUGAACAUAGAUAUGACACAGUACCAUUAACAUGUAGUUCCAAAAAUUACAAGACAUCACAUCUUGAAAGAGAGAAACUUCUCUAAUUUUCACUGAAAAACAAA
rnacentral:lncRNA from 1 species